GCUGGAAUAGCUUAGUUGGUUAGAGCAUGUGGUUCUUAACCACAAGGUUUGAGGUUCAAGUCCUCCUUCUAGUG
rnacentral:tRNA from 1 species